rnacentral:rRNA from 1 species
UACAGAGGUCUCAAGCGUUGUUCGGAUUCAUUGGGCGUAAAGGGUGUGUAGGUGGCGCGCUAAGUCGGGUGUGAAAUUUCGGAGCUUAACUCCGAAACUGCAUUCGAUACUGGCGUGCUUGAGGACUGGAGAGGAGACUGGAAUUCAUGGUGUAGCAGUGAAAUGCGUAGAUAUCGAGAGGAACACCAGUGGCGAAGGCGAGUCUCUGGACACUUCCUGACGCUGAGGCACGAAAGCCAGGGGAGCAAACGGG